CGAAAUGCGAUAAGUAAUGUGAAUUGCAGAAUUCAGUGAGUCAUCGAAUCUUUGAACGCACCUUGCG
rnacentral:rRNA from 1 species